CCUACGGGAGGCAGCAGUGAGGAAUAUUGGUCAAUGGGCGCGAGCCUGAACCAGCCAAGUCGCGUGAGGGAGGACGGCCCUACGGGUUGUAAACCUCUUUUGCCGGGGCGCAACGGGCGUCACGUGUGGCGCCACUGAGAGUACCCGGAGAAAAAGCAUCGGCUAACUCCGUGCCAGAAGCCGCGGUAAUACGGAGGAUGCGAGCGUUAUCCGGAUUUAUUGGGUUUAAGGGGGUCGUAGGCGGAUCGUAAAGUCAGUGGUCAACUUGGGGGGCUCAACCCCUUCCCGCCAUUGAAACUGGCGCUCUUGAGUGGAAGAGAAGUAGGCGGAAUGCGUGGUGUAGCGGUGAAAUGCAUAGAUAUCACGCAGAACCCCGAUUGCGAAGGCAGCAUGCCGGCUUCCGACUGACGCUGAAGCACGAAAGCGUGGGGAUCGAACAGGAUUAGAUACCCGAGUAGUC
rnacentral:rRNA from 1 species